UAGGGAAUCUUCCGCAAUGGACGAAAGUCUGACGGAGCAACGCCGCGUGAGUGAUGAAGGUUUUCGGAUCGUAAAACUCUGUUGUUAGGGAAGAACAAGUUGGGUAGUAACUGACCCAACCUUGACGGUACCUAACCAGAAAGCCACGGCUAACUACGUGCCAGCAGCCGCGGUAAUACGUAGGUGGCAAGCGUUGUCCGGAAUUAUUGGGCGUAAAGCGCUCGCAGGCGGUCUUUUAAGUCUGAUGUGAAAGCCCACGGCUUAACCGUGGAAGGUCAUUGGAAACUGGAGGACUUGAGUACAGAAGAGGAGAGUGGAAUUCCACGUGUAGCGGUGAAAUGCGUAGAAAUGUGGAGGAACACCAGUGGCGAAGGCGACUCUCUGGUAUGUAACUGACGCUGAGGAGCGAAAGCGUGGGUAGCGAACAGG
rnacentral:rRNA from 1 species